CAUACGGCUCAGUAACACGUAGUCAACAUGCCCAGGGGACGUGGAUAACCUCGGGAAACUGAGGAUAAACCGCGAUAGGUCAUCACUUCUGGAAUGGGUAAUGACUUAAACCUAUAUGGCCCCUGGAUUGGACUGCGGCCGAUCAGGCUGUUGGUGAGGUAAUGGCCCACCAAACCUGUAACCGGUACGGGCUCUGAGAGGAGGAGCCCGGAGAUGGGCACUGAGACAAGGGCCCAGGCCCUAUGGGGCGCAGCAGGCGCGAAACCUCUGCAAUAGGCGAAAGCUUGACAGGGUUACUCUGAGUGAUUUCCGUUAAGGAGAUCUUUUGGCACCUCUAAAAAUGGUGCAGAAUAAGGGGUGGGCAAGUCUGGUGUCAGCCGCCGCGGUAAUACCAGCACCCCGAGUGGUCGGGACGUUUAUUGGGCCUAAAGCAUCCGUAGCCGGUUCUACAAGUCUUCCGUUAAAUCCACCUGCUUAACAGAUGGGCUGCGGAAGAUACUAUAGAGCUAGGAGGCGGGAGAGGCAAGCGGUACUCGAUGGGUAGGGGUAAAAUCCGUUGAUCCAUUGAAGACCACCAGUGGCGAAGGCGGCUUGCCAGAACGCGCUCGACGGUGAGGGAUGAAAGCUGGGGGAGCAAACCGGAUUAGAUACCCGGGUAGUCCCAGCUGUAAACGAUGCA
rnacentral:rRNA from 1 species